rnacentral:rRNA from 1 species
UUAAAAGUUCGGGGCUUANCCCCGUGAUGGGAUGGAAACUGCUGNUCUAGAGUAUCGGAGAGGAAAGUGGAAUUCCUAGUGUAGCGGUGAAAUGCGUAGAUAUUAGGAAGAACACCAGUGGCGAAGGCGACUUUCUGGACGAAAACUGACGCUGAGGCGCGAAAGCCAGGGGAGCGAACGGGAUUAGAUACCCCGGUAGUCCUGGCCGUAAGCGAUGGGUACUAGGUGUAGGAGGUAUCGACCCNUUCUGUGCCGGAGUUAACGCAAUAAGUACCCCGCCUGGGGAGUACGACCGCAAGGUUGAAACUCAAAGGAAUUGACGGGGGCCCGCACAAGCGGUGGAGUAUGUGGUUUAAUUCGACGCAACGCGAAGAACCUUACCAGGUCUUGACAUUGAUGGACAGAACUAGAGAUAGUUCCUCUUCUUCGGAAGCCAGAAAACAGGUGGUGCACGGUUGUCGUCAGCUCGUGUCGUGAGAUGUUGGGUUAAGUCCCGCAACGAGCGCAACCCCUAUCUUAUGUUGCCAGCACUUUGGGUGGGAACUCAUGAGAGACUGCCGCAGACAAUGCGGAGGAAGGCGGGGAUGACGUCAAAUCAUCAUGCCCCUUAUGACCUGGGCUACACACGUACUACAAUGGGAGUUAAUAGACGGAAGCGAGAUCGCGAGAUGGAGCAAACCCGAGAAACACUCUCUCAGUUCGGAUCGUAGGCUGCAACUCGCCUACGUGAAGUCGGAAUCGCUAGUAAUCGCAGGUCAGCAUACUGCGGUGAAUACGUUCCCGGGCCUUGUACACACCGCCCGUCACACCACGAAAGUCGGAAGUGCCCAAAGCCGGUGGGGUAACCUUCG